rnacentral:rRNA from 1 species
GAUGAACGCUGGCGGCGUGCCUAAUACAUGCAAGUCGAGCGAACGGACGAGAAGCUUGCUUCUCUGAUGUUAGCGGCGGACGGGUGAGUAACACGUGGAUAACCUACCUAUAAGACUGGGAUAACUUCGGGAAACCGGAGCUAAUACCGGAUAAUAUUUUGAACCGCAUGGUUCAAAAGUGAAAGACGGUCUUGCUGUCACUUAUAGAUGGAUCCGCGCUGCAUUAGCUAGUUGGUAAGGUAACGGCUUACCAAGGCAACGAUGCAUAGCCGACCUGAGAGGGUGAUCGGCCACACUGGAACUGAGACACGGUCCAGACUCCUACGGGAGGCAGCAGUAGGGAAUCUUCCGCAAUGGGCGAAAGCCUGACGGAGCAACGCCGCGUGAGUGAUGAAGGUCUUCGGAUCGUAAAACUCUGUUAUUAGGGAAGAACAUAUGUGUAAGUAACUGUGCACAUCUUGACGGUACCUAAUCAGAAAGCCACGGCUAACUACGUACCAGCAGCCGCGGUAAUACGUAGGUGGCAAGCGUUAUCCGGAAUUAUUGGGCGUAAAGCGCGCGUAGGCGGUUUUUUAAGUCUGAUGUGAAAGCCCACGGCUCAACCGUGGAGGGUCAUUGGAAACUGGAAAACUUGAGUGCAGAAGAGGAAAGUGGAAUUCCAUGUGUAGCGGUGAAAUGCGCAGAGAUAUGGAGGAACACCAGUGGCGAAGGCGACUUUCUGGUCUGUAACUGACGCUGAUGUGCGAAAGCGUGGGGAUCAAACAGGAUUAGAUACCCUGGUAGUCCACGCCGUAAACGAUGAGUGCUAAGUGUUAGGGGGUUUCCGCCCCUUAGUGCUGCAGCUAACGCAUUAAGCACUCCGCCUGGGGAGUACGACCGCAAGGUUGAAACUCAAAGGAAUUGACGGGGACCCGCACAAGCGGUGGAGCAUGUGGUUUAAUUCGAAGCAACGCGAAGAACCUUACCAAAUCCUGACAUCCUUUGACAACUCUAGAGAUAGAGCCUUCCCCUUCGGGGGACAAAGUGACAGGUGGUGCAUGGUUGUCGUCAGCUCGUGUCGUGAGAUGUUGGGUUAAGUCCCGCAACGAGCGCAACCCUUAAGCUUAGUUGCCAUCAUUAAGUUGGGCACUCUAAGUUGACUGCCGGUGACAAACCGGAGGAAGGUGGGGAUGACGUCAAAUCAUCAUGCCCCUUAUGAUUUGGGCUACGCACGUGCUACAAUGGACAAUACAAAGGGCAGCGAAACCGCGAGGUCAAGCAAAUCCCAUAAAGUUGUUCUCAGUUCGGAUUGUAGUCUGCAACUCGACUACAUGAAGCUGGAAUCGCUAGUAAUCGUAGAUCAGCAUGCUACGGUGAAUACGUUCCCGGGUCU